rnacentral:tRNA from 1 species
GGAGUUGUGGCUCAGUGGUAAGAGCACUUGCCUAGCAUGUGUGAGGCCCUGGGUUCGAUUCUCAGCACCA